rnacentral:rRNA from 1 species
UACGUAGGGGGCAAGCGUUGUCCGGAAUCAUUGGGCGUAAAGAGCGCGUAGGCGGUCCGGUAAGUCCGCUCUGAAAGUCCGGGGCUCAACCCCGGGAGGCGGGCGGAUACUGUCGGGCUAGAGUCCGGAAGAGGCGAGUGGAAUUCCUGGUGUAGCGGUGAAAUGCGUAGAUAUCCGGAGGAACACCAAAGGCGAAGGCAGUGUCCUGGGGAGUACCUGACGCUCAGGUGCGAAAGCCAGGGGAGCGAACGGG